ensembl:lncRNA
GAGAGAGAGGAUGAGAGCGGAUUGAAACCUGAUUGAUAGACUGAUAGAGCAGAACAGAUUGAGGAGGCAGGUAGCCUAGUGGUUAGAGUGUAGAGGAGGCAGGUAGUCUAGUGGUUAGAGUGUAGAGGAGGCAGGUAGACUAGUGGUUAGAGUGUAGAGGAGGCAGGUAGCCUAGUGGUUAGAGUGUAGAGGAGGUAGGUAGUCUAGUGGUUAGAGUGUAGAGGAGGCAGGUAGACUAGUGGUUAGAGUGUAGAGGAGGCAGGUAGUCUAGUGGUUAGAGGAGGCAGGUAGCCUAGUGGUUAGAGUAGGCCGUAAUUGUAAAUAAGAAUUUGUUCUUAACGGACUAGUUAAAUACUGGUUAAAUGAAUAAACAUGUAAAGUCUGACUGUGUCCUGGCUCUAGCUGUGGUGUGUUGGGAGCGGUUAGAGUUGGGUUGUCUGCUGGUCGUUGUCUCUCCAUCACUCUCACUGGAGCUCACAAUACGCUGGGCCUUCCGACCAGCACGCCUCAACAAUGGCUUCCUAAAACACACACACAGGUCAGAUAGAGACAGACGGGUCAGAUCG